AAAUUGAGCGUGCGGUUUGGGCCGCCUCUGCCACCUCCUCCGCUGCCUCAGGGACUGCCUCUCUCCCCGCCACCGCCACCGCCACCGCCACCGCCACCGCCUCCGCCACCGCCUCCGCCUCCGCCUCCGCCUCUUUGGGGCCCUCCUCCUUCCCCUCCUCCUCCCCCACCUCUACACGACCCAGGCCUUCUGUCCCGGAGAAGAAGCCGUAUUCGGUCUUUCUCGGGGGUCGGUGGCGCAGCCAUGGCGGAUGGCGGCGGCGGCGGCGGCGGGGGAACGGGCGCGGUGGGCGGCGGCGGAGCAGGCCAGGCCUCGGCUGGUUCAGCUACGGGUGCGACCGGGGCGGGCGGGAGCGGUGGCCCCAUCAACCCAGCCUCGUUGCCUCCCGGCGACCCGCAGCUCAUCGCUGUCAUCGUGGAGCAGCUCAAGAGCCGGGGCCUGUUUGACAGCUUCCGCCGGGACUGCCUGGCCGACGUGGACACCAAGCCAGCUUACCAAAACCUGAGGCAGAAAGUGGAUAAUUUUGUGUCAACACAUCUGGACAAGCAGGAAUGGAAUCCUACAAUGAACAAAAACCAAUUGCGAAAUGGUCUGAGGCAGAGUGUGGUACAGUCAGGGAUGUUGGAAGCUGGAGUAGACAGGAUUAUUUCCCAGGUGGUGGAUCCAAAACUAAACCACAUCUUCAGGCCACAGAUAGAACGAGCAAUUCACGAGUUCCUGGCAGCCCAGAAAAAAGAAGCUGUGCCAGCGCCCCCUCCAGAGCCUGAGAGUCAAGAUCCUCCAGCUCCAUCCCAGGAUGCUUCCUAAGGUCCAGUAUCCCAUCUUUUGUCCAGGAGCAUUCAUCUCUGGCUUAUAGAUAUAUAAAAUGGAUAGAAAAGGGAACUUACCUGACAUCUUUUGAAAGCUCCAUUUAAUUAAUGGUGAUGAAAUGGAUUCAGUUACAUAUGAGUACAGCUGCAGAAUGAAGAUUAGGUCAAGGCCGUCACUGAUUUCAAGAUUUUAACUUUGACUGUGGGGCAGUGUCCAGAUUGAACAGGGAGCAAGUUUAGCAAUGGGAAAGUUGACGGUGUGUGUCCCCUGCAUUGUACUGCCAUUUUACCACUACAGUCCAAGGAUGUGACUCCCAGUAGACACUACAGAGAUCUAAAGAAACACUACAGCAACCUUGGGUUGUCCUGAAACAAACUUUUAUACUUGAACAUGGAGACUGCACAUGGAUGUUAGGGUGGUACUCUGGAAUAAACAGUAGCUACAAUGAAAGAACAUAACCAGUCCCAAAGAUAAUCCAAAGAAUAAUGACAGUAAAGGUUAACUCACAGUAGCUAUUUGAUAUUGUUUCUCAGAGUUGAAACUAGAAUGUACAGCCAUUAGCAUCAGAUAACUUUAAUGUCAUUGUGACCUUCUUUUUUUUUUUUGUCUUCUUUGUGACCGGCCGCACCGCGCUCAGCCAGUGAGCGCACCAGCCAUCCCUAUAUAGGAUCCGAACCCGUGGCGGGAGCGCUACUGCACUCCCAGCGCCGCACUCUCCCGAGUGUGCCACGGGCUCAGCCCCAUUGUGACCUUCUUGUACAUGAAUCUUCUAACCUAUUUCCUUUCCUCGUAAUAGGUGACAAAACAUGAAACCCUAGAAUGUGUGUGGAAGCUCAGACAUUAGGUAUAAGGAAAAACAUUUGCAGGCUCUCUGUCCAGAGCUUCUUUCUAUCCUGCAAGGGCUAGUGAAUCUCAGGUGUGUUUAUUUUAUUCAUGUUUGUGUUUUUUAGAAAAGUGAAUGGCUUAAGUUUUAUAUUAAAAUCAUUUGAUACUCUUUA